GACAGAGGGUGCAAACGUUGUUCGGAAUUACUGGGCGUAAAGCGCGUGUAGGCGGCUUUGCAAGUCGGGUGUGAAAGCCCUCAGCUUAACUGAGGAGGUGCGCCCGAAACUGCUUAGCUUGAGUGCCGGAGAGGAUGGCGGAAUUCCCCAAGUAGAGGUGAAAUUCGUAGAUAUGGGGAGGAACACCGGUGGCGAAGGCGGCCAUCUGGACGGUAACUGACGCUGAGACGCGAAAGCGUGGGUAGCAAACAGG
rnacentral:rRNA from 1 species